GAGACUGAGUAACUGCUAGAUCCUUGGACUUCCAUUCACAGCUGCGACUGAAUCAUUGUUGGGAAUUGGGCUGCCAACUCCCGAGGCUCCAGCAGUGUGGCCAGAGGAAGGGUCCAGAAGCAAGGCUGCGGCACAUAAGAAGUGAACAGGCAUGCCAUAGACAAUGCUGUAACGAAGAAGGGCACCGGCAGCUGUUGGGACAAGUGGAAGGACUUCAGAGACAUGUCACAGUAGUUUCAGAAACGGCGACAGGGCACCUCACCUGACAGAUGUGAAGGACAGGCUCAGUGUGUUCACUCUCCAGCUUGUGGGGAAAGCAAGGACACCUCUAAGGAAAAUGCUUCUCUUUGGAAAUCCAGGAAGGUAAAUUUCUCAAGGACUGUAAAAUGACUCUUGUCUCCUAUAUUGGUAUUUUCCUCUGAAAAAUAAAUGUGUUUUU
rnacentral:lncRNA from 1 species